GACGAACGCUGGCGGCGUGCUUAACACAUGCAAGUCGAACGGAAAGGCCCUGCUUUUGUGGGGUUCUCGAGUGGCGAACGGGUGAGUAACACGUGAGUAACCUGCCCUUGACUUUGGGAUAACUUCAGGAAACUGGGGCUAAUACCGGAUAGGAGCUCCUGCUGCUUGGUUGGGGUUGGAAAGUUUCGGCGGUUGGGGAUGGACUCGCGGCUUAUCAGCUUGUUGGUGGGGUAGUGGCUUACCAAGGCUUUGACGGGUAGCCGGCCUGAGAGGGUGACCGGCCACAUUGGGACUGAGAUACGGCCCAGACUCCUACGGGAGGCAGCAGUGGGGAAUAUUGCACAAUGGGCGGAAGCCUGAUGCAGCAACGCCGCGUGCGGGAUGACGGCCUUCGGGGUGUAAACCGCUUUCGCCUGUGACGAAGCGGGAGUGACGGUAAUGGGUAAAGAAGAACCGGCUAACUACGUG
rnacentral:rRNA from 1 species